rnacentral:rRNA from 1 species
UAAGGAGGGUGCAAGCGUUGCUCGGAAUUAUUGGGCGUAAAGGGUAGGUAGGUGGUCUCGUUUGUCUGGGGUGAAAUCCUUGAGCUUAACUCAAGAAGUGCCUCAGAAACGGCGAGACUAGAGUUCUGGAGAGGGUCGUGGAAUUCCCGGUGUAGCGGUGAAAUGCGUAGAGAUCGGAAAGAACACCAACGGCGAAAGCACUCUGCUGGGCCGACACUGACACUGAGAGACGAAAGCUAGGGGAGCGAAUGGG